rnacentral:rRNA from 1 species
UACGAAGGGGGCUAGCGUUGUUCGGAUUUACUGGGCGUAAAGCGCACGUAGGCGGAUCGUUAAGUCGGGGGUGAAAUCCUGGAGCUCAACUCCAGAACUGCCUUCGAUACUGGCGAUCUUGAGUCCGGAAGAGGUGAGUGGAACUCCUAGUGUAGAGGUGGAAUUCGUAGAUAUUAGGAAGAACACCUGUGGCGAAGGCGGCCCCUG